rnacentral:rRNA from 1 species
GGGGCAGCGGGGGAGGAAGCUUGCUUUCUCCUGCCGGCGACCGGCGCACGGGUGAGUAACACGUAUGCAACCUGGCCGUCACAGGUGGAUAACCGGAAGAAAUUCCGACUAAUACAGCAUAACACUCCUGAGGGACAUCCUUUGGGAGUCAAAGGAGGCGACUCCGGUGACGGAUGGGCAUGCGGCGCAUUAGGUAGUUGGUAGGGUAACGGCCUACCAAGCCGACGAUGCGUAGGGGUUCUGAGAGGAAGGUCCCCCACAUUGGAACUGAGACACGGUCCAAACUCCUACGGGAGGCAGCAGUGAGGAAUAUUGGUCAAUGGCCGGAAGGCUGAACCAGCCAAGUCGCGUGAGGGAAUAAGGCCCUAUGGGUCGUAAACCUCUUUUGUCAGGGAGCAAAGGCGUCCACGAGUGGACGAAAGGAGAGUACCUGAAGAAAAAGCAUCGGCUAACUCCGUGCCAGCAGCCGCGGUAAUACGGAGGAUGCGAGCGUUAUCCGGAUUUAUUGGGUUUUAAAGGGUGCGUAAGCCGGAGUGUCAAGUCAGCGG